GUGGAGCAGACGCCGCGGCGGGAGUGGACCGAGCCUUGCCGACAAGUUUACAUGUAUUGGAGACCAGACCAGAAGCCCUUCUGAAUUAAGAUCUCACAUUCUUGGAGGUGGCAUCGAAGAGCACUAAGAUCAGAAGAUGAGUGAGCUUGACCAGUUACGGCAGGAGGCCGAGCAACUUAAAAACCAGAUUCGAGACGUCAGUAAAGCAUGUGCAGAUGCAACUCUCUCUCAGAUCACAAACAACAUUGACCCAGUGGGAAGAAUCCAAAUGCGCACGAGGAGGACACUGCGGGGGCACCUGGCCAAGAUAUACGCCAUGCACUGGGGCACAGACUCCAGGCUUCUCGUCAGUGCCUCGCAGGAUGGUAAACUUAUCAUCUGGGACAGCUACACCACCACCAAGGUCCACGCCAUCCCUCUGCGCUCCUCCUGGGUCAUGACCUGUGCAUAUGCCCCUUCUGGGAACUAUGUGGCCUGCGGUGGCCUGGAUAACAUUUGCUCCAUUUACAAUCUGAAAACUCCUGAGGGGAACGUGCGCGUGAGUCGUGAGCUGGCAGGACACACAGGUUACCUGUCCUGCUGCCGAUUCCUGGAUGACAAUCAGAUCGUCACCAGCUCUGGAGACACCACAUGUGCCCUGUAGGACAUCGAGACCGGCCAGCAGACGACCACGUUUACCGGACACACUGGAGAUGUCAUGAGCCUUUCUCUUGCUCCUGACACCAGACUGUUUGUCUCUGGUGCUUGUGAUGCUUCAGCCAAACUCUGGGAUGUGCAAGAAGGCAUGUGCCGGCAGACCUUCACCGGCCACGAGUCUGACAUCAAUGCCAUUUGCUUCUUUCCAAACGGCAAUGCAUUUGCCACUGGCUCAGACGACGCCACCUGCAGGCUGUUUGACCUUCGUGCCGACCAGGAGCUCAUGACUUACUCCCACCACAACAUCAUCUGUGGGAUCACCUCUGUCUCCUUCUCCAAGAGCUGGCGCCUCCUCCUUGCUGGGUACCACGACUUUAAUUGCAACGUCUGGGACACGCUCAAAGCCGACAGGGCAGGUGUCUUGGCUGGGCAUGGCAACCGCGUCAGCUGCCUGGGCGUGACUGAUGAUGGCAUGGCUGUGGCGACAGGGUCCUGGGAUAGCUUCCUCAAGAUCUGGAACUAACGCCAGUAGCAUGUGGAUGCCAUGGAGACUGGAAGACCAUUCCAACUUGGACGCGUUACCAUGAGAGCAUAUCCCAUCCAACCGCACUAACGUGGACACCCUACACCUCCCCUCAGAACUUCAAAAGGGCAAGAUCUUUUUUCCUUCACUUAUUGCUGAAACCAAGAGCACAAUUCCCAGUAAGAGAAGGAUCUCUGUGCUGUAAAACUAAAACAAAUUGUGCAUUCCUUCCGGGGCCAUCGUCUUUUGUUUUCUUUUUUGUCUUGAAUGAAUUUUAAAAGGAAAUAUAUAAUAAAAAUGUUAACCAGAA